rnacentral:lncRNA from 1 species
GAGCUAUAACUUUUUCCAUAAGCAUCUCCUGGAAAAACUUCUUAUAAAAGCUCAGACGCACCAGUGUGGCUAGUAACCCCAACCUCCACAUAUUCUCCAAAGCUCCAUGUCACAAAUAUGAUGGUUUCGGAAACUUGUAGAGUUACCUGCAGAGGCAGUGGCUGCCCUAAGAGCAUCUCGAAGGGUUUUGCAUUUGAGGUUUGCAUUUGAGCAAUUUGCCAAAAAGCUCCAAAAGGGGUAUCCAACGGUUUUGCAUUUGGAGUUUGCAAUUUGGGCAACUUGGCAAACGAGGGAGCAAACUUGGCAAAAAUGCCAAGUUGUAGACGGCUUUGCAAACCUGAUCGCGCGUGCAAAGUCACACGCAAGGAAAGCGCGCGCCUGGAGACCUCCUAAUUUUAUCAUUUGCCAAGUCCAAAUGUCAAUUCUCUUAGAAAUGGCCUAUUUUUAUCUUUUGCAUUUUGUUAUGGAAGUUUGCAAACAACAACAAAUGCCAAGUCAAUUUGCCAAAGCCUUUGGACAUGCUCUAACUGAUAAAAGGUUGAAGCAUCCACGAAAACUCGUGAUAGGAGAGGAUUUCUCGUC